rnacentral:rRNA from 1 species
CAGCCGCCGCGGUAAUACAGAGGGUGCGAGCGUUAAUCGGAUUUACUGGGCGUAAAGCGUGCGUAGGCGGCUAAUUGAGUCGGAUGUGAAAUCCCCGAGCUUAACUUGGGAAUUGCAUUCGAUACUGGGAAGCUAGAGUAUGGGAGAGGAUGGUAGAAUUCCAGGUGUAGCGGUGAAAUGCGUAGAGAUCUGGAGGAAUACCGAUGGCGAAGGCAGCCAUCUGGCCUAAUACUGACGCUGAGGUACGAAAGCAUGGGGAGCAAACAGGAUUAGAUACCCCGGUAGUCCCUGUCUCUUAUAA